GCCCUCAGUACUUGAUUGUGGCUCCUCUUGAAUGAGUUCCUGCUUCAGUGCUGCGUCAAGGUGAUCAGCCUGUGGACCUGCUGAGGUGUUCUGGAAGUCCAGGUUGCUUUGAUAGCAGCCUUCAGCUGCUGGAUUGUUGGCGCU